rnacentral:sRNA from 1 species
AGAAGUUAGGGGCUGCAGCGGCGCUGGCUUUAGGUGAACGACUUGAAAAUUACUUUUCCCACUGAAACACACCCAAGUAUAUGCCCAGCCUUCAUGAAAGUGAACAGAGAAACGAAGCGCCUUUAUGUGGGUGGCCUUAGCCAGGACAUUUCUGAGGCAGACCUACAAAAUCAGUUCAGCAGAUUUGGAGAAGUUUCGGAUGUGGAGAUCAUCACACGGAAAGAUGACCAAGGAAACCCACAGAAAGUUUUUGCAUAUAUCAACAUCAGUGUAGCAGAAGCGGACCUGAAAAAAUGUAAGAUCAUCAUAUAUUUUCUAUACUGUUUGCCAGUUUAUAUCACUCUGUAACUUGGAAUAACUGGUUCUAAAUCUAAACCUCCACAGCCAUUUUUUACGUUAUCCAGAGGGACAGCAGUGAUGAAGAGAAUUCCAGUAUCGUAUAACUCAGCAGGUUUAGGUCCAUUCCAUUUGGCAUCAGCAGACAUGGUAGCACUUUACUGGUGGGUUUACUUAAAACUGCUAUUCUCAAAUAUUUUGGACAAGGGACCAAACUUUCAUAGAAACUGCCUGUUACAUAUAUCCCACUGAAUAUCAUGCCA